UUCUCCAAGAUCCCUGCCCAAUUACGAUCUGGCCUGAAGUGAAGCCCGUCAAACGCUGAAUUCCCGAACUGGCUGGGCCGGACCACUUUUCGCUUGCAUAAAAGUCUAAGAAAGCGGAGGCCUGGGGCGUUGGCUACAGGCCAGGAAGAUACGGCGGUGUUAUUGGAGCUGGAGCGAACCCUGCGAUCGAAGCCCAGUGGGGUAAGGAUCUCUCUGUUCUAGGUCACUCGCCGAUGAUUCCAUGGAUCUUUCGUUCUUAAUGUGUUUGAUUUAUCGAUCGAUGCUGAAUCGCGGUGUUACUUGGAUCCUUGUUUUCUCAGUGUCUGUGUUUUGGAUGGAUCUUUAGAUUUGUUUUGUUCAUUCUGUUAUUAUUUGGAUAUGAAUCGUUGAUCUCCAACUACUGAGAAGUUUACGGUGUUUGUUCUUUUUGAUGCUUUAAUCCGGCAACUGUGGGCGAAAAUUACGACGACCGCGGGAGGAGCUGGUCCUCGAUGCCUACAAGAUUUCACAGUCAGUUUUUGCGCUUCUUCGAUUGCUGUAUGGGCUGCUGGAGAUCAGGGAUAGUUGCUAACUUCAAGUUGACAAGUAAGAAGGAGGAGCUGUUUGGAAAACUAAACUGGACUGCCUGGGAGACUUGGCCAAGAUGUCCAGACAAAGAUAUCCAGCUGACGCUGAGAUAUCUAGCAGAGACAGAGAUGACAGCCGAGACCGAGAUGUCUAGCUAAGAUAGAUAUGUCUAGCCGAGAUCGAGAUGUCUAGCUAAUACACCAGGCUGAGACCCGAGGCCGAAAUGGCGAGACAUGAAGCUGAGACCCAAGAUGGAGUUAAACAAAGUUUGGAUUGACCGAGGGUUUGAUCGAUCGAACAGGCGAUUCAGUCGACUGAAUAGGUGUUUCAGUUGAUCGAUUUGGCCAGCGUGACAUAGAUUCGAUUGUGUUUUGUAAACUUGGAAAUAUAGAGUUAUUAGUCGACCGAACAAGCUGUUUAUGUUAGUUCGGGCCGACUAGAAGGGGUAAAUAACUCUACAAGUAAAGUU